rnacentral:rRNA from 1 species
GGGCCCGCACAAGCGGUGGAGUAUGUGGUUUAAUUCGAUGCAACGCGAAGAACCUUACCAGGGUUUGACAUCCUGCGAAUCUCUUGGAAACAGGAGAGUGCCUUCGGGAACGCAGUGACAGGUGGUGCAUGGCUGUCGUCAGCUCGUGUCGUGAGAUGUUGGGUUAAGUCCCGCAACGAGCGCAACCCUUGUCCUUAGUUGCCAGCACAUAAUGGUGGGAACUCUAAGGAGACUGCCGGUGACAAACCGGAGGAAGGUGUGGAUGACGUCAAGUCAUCAUGCCCCUUACAUCCUGGGCUACACACGUACUACAAUGCUACGGACAAAGGGCUGCAAGUUCGCGAGGACAAGCAAAUCCCAUAAACCGUGGCUCAGUUCAGAUCGUAGGCUGCAACUCGCCUACGUGAAGGCGGAAUCGCUAGUAAUCGC